UGAUGAUUGACUUCAAUGCUGA
rnacentral:sRNA from 1 species